rnacentral:rRNA from 1 species
UUGGUCCUCUCAUGCCGUCCUUGAAUGGUGCAUCCUGGCAUUAAGUUGUCGGGGUGAGAGCCGUUCAUCGUUUACUGUGAGAAAAUUAGAGUGUUCAAAGCAGGCUUAUGCCGUUGAAUAUAUUAGCAUGGAAUAAUAAGAUAGGACUUUGGUACUAUUUUGUUGGUUUGAGAACCAAGGUAAUGAUCAAUAGGGACAGUUGGGGGUAUUCGUAUUCAGUUGUCAGAGGUGAAAUUCUUAGAUUUCCGGAAGACGAACUACUGCGAAAGCAUUUACCAAGGAUGUUUUCAUUAAUCAAGAACGAAAGUAUGGGGAUCGAAGAUGAUUAGAUACCAUC